rnacentral:rRNA from 1 species
GACGAACGCUGGCGGCGUGCUUAACACAUGCAAGUCGAACGGAAAGGCCCUGCUUUUGUGGGGUGCUCGAGUGGCGAACGGGUGAGUAACACGUGAGUAACCUGCCCUUGACUUUGGGAUAACUUCAGGAAACUGGGGCUAAUACCGGAUAGGAGCUCCUGCUGCAUGGUGGGGGUUGGAAAGUUUCGGCGGUUGGGGAUGGACUCGCGGCUUAUCAGCUUGUUGGUGGGGUAGUGGCUUACCAAGGCUUUGACGGGUAGCCGGCCUGAGAGGGUGACCGGCCACAUUGGGACUGAGAUACGGCCCAGACUCCUACGGGAGGCAGCAGUGGGGAAUAUUGCACAAUGGGCGGAAGCCUGAUGCAGCAACGCCGCGUGCGGGAUGACGGCCUUCGGGUUGUAAACCGCUUUCGCCUGUGACGAAGCGUGAGUGACGUAAUG